GCGGGCGUGGCGGAAUUGGCAGACGCGCUAGAUUUAGGCUCUAGUGGGAAUCCGUGCAGGUUCAAGUCCUGUCGCCCGCACCA
rnacentral:tRNA from 1 species